rnacentral:rRNA from 1 species
CAAUAGCGUAUAUUAAAGUUGUUGCAGUUAAAAAGCUCGUAGUUGGAUUUCUGGUCGGAAGCUCCUGUCCUCUGAUGAGCGUACAAGUGCGUCCUACCAUCCUUCUGUUAACCUUUAAGGCUUUCGCGGCUUUCUAGGGGCUCAGAUAUUUUACCUUGAGAAAAUUAGAGUGUUUCAGGCAGGCUGGCGCCGGAAUACAUUAGCAUGGAAUAAUGGAAUAGGACUUUUGCCUCUUCUGUUGGUCAUGAGGCUCGAGUAAUGAUUAAUAGGGAUAGUUGGGGGCAUUAGUACUUAACUGUCAGAGGUGAAAUUCUCGGAUUUGUUAAAGACUAACUUAUGCGAAAGCAUUUGCCAAGGAUGUUUUCAUUAA